rnacentral:ncRNA from 1 species
ACCCCUGUGAGAAUGCCCCACAGUUCCCCGCCCGGGGACAAGGAGCAGGUAUCAGGCACCCCUCUAGUUGAGCCCAUGACGCCUUGCUUAGCCACACCCUCAAGGGAACUCAGCAGUGAUAAACAUUAAGCCAUAAGUGAAAACUUGACUUAGUUAAAGCUAAGAGGGCCGGUAAAACUCGUGCCAGCCACCGCGGUUAUACGAGAGGCCCAAGUUGAAAGAGCCCGGCGUAAAGAGUGGUUAAGCUAGAAUUUAUACUAAAGCCGAACAUCCUCACGGCUGUUAUACGCAUCCGAAGAUAAGAAGCUCAGCCACGAAGGUAGCUUUAUUUGUCUGAACCCACGAAAGCUACGGCACAAACUGGGAUUAGAUACCCCACUAUGCCUAGCCCUAAACAUUGAUAGUACCCCACACCCACUAUCCGCCUGGGAACUACGAGCAGCAGCUUAAAACCCAAAGGACUUGGCGGUGCUUUAAACCCACCUAGAGGAGCCUGUUCUAGAACCGAUACCCCCCGUUCAACCUCACCCUUCCUUGUUUCACCCGCCUAUAUACCGCCGUCGUCAGCUUACCCUGUGAAGGCCUAAUAGUAAGCAAAACUGGCCAAGCCCAGAACGUCAGGUCGAGGUGUAGCGCAUGGGAGGGGAAGAAAUGGGCUACAUUCGCUGCAGCAGCGAAUACGGACGAUGCACUGAAACGUCCAUCUGAAGGAGGAUUUAGCAGUAAGCAGAAAGUAGCGUGUUCCGCUGAAAUUGGCCCUAAAGCGCGCACACACCGCCCGUCACUCUCCCCAAGCCCACCAACUUAAUUAACUAAACCCUAAUAAUCGCAAAGGGGAGGCAAGUCGUAACAUGGUAAGCGUACCGGAAGGUGCGCUUGGAAAAAU